rnacentral:rRNA from 1 species
ACUCAAAGGAAUUGACGGGGGCCCGCACAAGCGGUGGAGCAUGUGGUUUAAUUCGACGCAACGCGAAGAACCUUACCUGGGCUCGAACGGCUUCGGACCGCCGAUAGAAAUAUUGGCUUUCCCGCAAGGGACUGGAGUCGAGGUGCUGCAUGGCUGUCGUCAGCUCGUGUCGUGAGAUGUUGGGUUAAGUCCCGCAACGAGCGCAACCCUUGUCCUGUGUUGCAACUAAUAGGCACUCUCAGGAGACCGCCAGCGAUAAGCUGGAGGAAGGUGGGGAUGACGUCAAGUCAUCAUGGCCUUUAUGUCCAGGGCUACACACGUGCUACAAUGGACGGUACAAACCGCUGCGAACUCGCGAGAGGGAGCUAAUCGGAAAAAACCGUUCUCAGUUCGGAUUGCAGGCUGCAACCCGCCUGCAUGAAGCUGGAAUCGCUAGUAAUGGUAUAUCAGAACGAUACCGUGAAUACGUUCCCGGGCCUUGUACACACCGCCCGU